rnacentral:rRNA from 1 species
AUUGAACGCUGGCGGCAGGCUUAACACAUGCAAGUCGAGCGAGCGGCGGACGGGUGAGUAAUGUCUGGGAAACUGCCUGAUGGAGGGGGAUAACUACUGGAAACGGUAGCCAAUACCGCAUACCUUCAGAAGUGCCCAGUUGGGAUUAGCCAGUGGGUGGGGUAAUGGCUCACCUAGGCGACGAUUCCUAGCUGGUCUGAGAGGAUGACCAGCCACACUGGAACUGAGACACGGUCCAGACUCCUACGGGAGGCAGCAGUGGGGAAUAUUGGACAAUGGGGGCAAGCCUGAUGCAGCCAUGCCGCGUGUGUGAAGAAGGCCUUCGGGUUGUAAAGCACUUUCAGCGGGGAGGCGGUACUCGCAGAAGAAGCACCGGCUAACUCCGUGCCAGCAGCCGCGGUAAUAC